rnacentral:rRNA from 1 species
AGAGUUUGAUCAUGGCUCAGGAUGAACGCUAGCUACAGGCUUAACACACGCAAGUACGAGGGGAAACGGAACAUCGAAAGACUUGCUUUUGUAUGGGCGUCGACCGGCGCACGGGUGAGUAACGCGUAUCCAACCUGCCCACCACUUGGGGAUAACCUUGCGAAAGUAAGACUAAUACCCAAUGACGUCUCUAGAAGACAUCUGAAGGAGAUUAAAGAUUUAUCGGUGAUGGAUGGGGAUGCGUCUGAUUAGCUUGUUGGCGGGGUAACGGCCACCAAGGCGACGAUCAGUAGGGGUUCUGAGAGGAAGGUCCCCCACAUUGGAACUGAGACACGGUCCAAACUCCUACGGGAGGCA